rnacentral:rRNA from 1 species
CACGUAGGGUGCGAGCGUUGUCCGGAAUUAUUGGGCGUAAAGAGCUCGUAGGCGGUGUGUCGCGUCGGCCGUGAAAACCUGCAGCUUAACUGUGGGCGUGCGGUCGAUACGGGCAUCACUGGAGUUCGGCAGGGGAGACUGGAAUUCCUGGUGUAGCGGUGAAAUGCGCAGAUAUCAGGAGGAACACCGGUGGCGAAGGCGGUUCUCUGGGACGGUACUGACGCUGAGACGCGAAAGCGUGGGGGAGCAAACAGG